ACGGCUGUAGCGCAGAGGUCGUCGCGCCCGAGCUGCAAUCUGGAGGACGCCGGUUCGAAUCCGGCCAGCCGUGCCA
rnacentral:tRNA from 1 species